rnacentral:rRNA from 1 species
AUUGAACGCUGGCGGCAUGCCUUACACAUGCAAGUCGAACGGUAACAGGUCUUCGGAUGCUGACGAGUGGCGAACGGGUGAGUAAUACAUCGGAACGUGCCCGAGAGUGGGGGAUAACGAAGUGAAAGCUUUGCUAAUACCGCAUACGAUCUCAGGAUGAAAGCAGGGGACCGCAAGGCCUUGCGCUCACGGAGCGGCCGAUGGCAGAGUAGGUAGUUGGUGGGAUAAAAGCUUACCAAGCCGACGAUCUGUAGCUGGUCUGAGAGGACGACCAGCCACACUGGGACUGAGACACGGCCCAGACUCCUACGGGAGGCAGCAGUGGGGAAUUUUGGACAAUGGGCGCAAGCCUGAUCCAGCCAUGCCGCGUGCAGGAUGAAGGCCUUCGGGUUGUAAACUGCUUUUGUACGGAACGAAAAGACUCCUUCUAAUAAAGGGGGUCCAUGACGGUACCGUAAGAAUAAGCACCGGCUAACUACGUGCCAGCAGCCGCAGUAAAAC